GUGAGUAACUGAAGCCUAGGCCCCGUCCCCACCUCAAAUCACACACACCCCCUCCCCACCACAGAGACACCAUUACAUACACAGACACACACAGAAAGACACACACAGACACAAAAUCACACACACACCCUCCCCGCCACAGAGACACCAUUACAUACACAGACACACACAGAAAGACACAGACACAAAAUCACACACACACCCUCCCCGCCACAGAGACACACCAUUACAUACACAGACACGCAAUCGCAGAUACGCCCUUCCGGCCACAGAAACACACCAUUACACACACAUACACAGAAAGACACACACAGACACACAAUCACACGCAGCCCCUCCCCGCCACAGAGACACACCAUUACAUACACAGACACACACAGAAAGACACACACAGACACAAAAUCACACACACACCCUCCCCGCCACAGAGACACACCAUUACAUACACAGACACACACAGACACACAAUCACACACAGCCCCUCCCCGCCACAGAGACACACCAUUACAUACACAGACACACACAGACACACAAUCACAGAUACCCCCUCCCGGCCAUAGAGACACACCGUUACACACACAUACACAGAAAGACACACACAGCCCCUCCCCGCCACAGAGACACACCAUUACAUACACAGACACACACACACACACAAUCACACACACACCCCCCGCCACAGAGACACACCGUUACAUACACAGACAUACACACACACACAGACAUACACCAGACACGCAAAGACACACAGACACAGAUACACAGAUACAAAGACACAGACAUAUAGACACACAGACAUGCACAGAGACACAUGGAGACACAUGCAAAAAUGCACAGAGAAAGACAUACAGAAGUGUACACACAGACACAUAGACCACACAGACACACAGACAUGCAUGCAAACACACAGACAUGCAGACAUGCACACAAACACAGACUCACGCACACAGACUUAGGCAGCCCAAAUUCAGCGCCUGGGGCAUAAGUUCCUGGAGGGGUGGCCACCUUCAGCCCCCACGGUAAGGUCCUGAGGAACCUUCCCCUUAGACAAGGGAUCAUGGAGGAGGUCUCUUCCGGAGCCUGGAGGGAGGCCUCAAGUGGUCCUUCCACCUCGGCAUCCCAAAGUGCUAGGAUUAUAAGCAUGAGCCACUGCACCUGGCCCCAACAUCAUUUAUUGAACAGACUGUCGUUUCCACAUUGUGUUUCUUGGCAUUUCUGUCAAAAAUCAGUUGACCGUAAAUGCAUGGAUUCACUUCCGGGCUCUCUAUUCUGUUUCAUUGGUCUGUUUGUUUUUAUGCCAAUACCAUGAUGUUUUGAUUAUUAUAGCUUUAUAGUAUAUCUUGAAGUUAGGUAGUGUAUUGUCUCCAGCUUUGUUCUUUUUGCUUAAGAUUGCUUUGGCUAUUUAGGGGUCUUUGUGGCCAUUACUGACAGUUAAAAUGGCCCUGGCUCAUGUCUCCUGGGCCUCUACAGUACUUUAGGUGGGGAAGUACUGUGGCCCACAUGUCCCAACAGGCUGUGUGUGGCACCUGACAGUGCUUUGUGCCACUGUGGAGCAGGUGUUACUCCCUCAUACGAAUUUUAGGAUUAUUUUAUUUAUUUCAGUGAAAAAUGUCAAUGAAAUUUUGAUAGGGAUUGCAUUGAAUCUGUAGAUUGUUUGGGGUUGUAUGGACAUUUUAACAAUAUUAAUUCUUCCAAUUCAUGAACAUGGGAUGUCUUUUUUUUGGCACCUGAUCUCAGAUAUGGGACAGCUUUCUAAUUAUUUGUAUCUUCAAUUUCUUUCACAAAUGUUUUAUAGUUUUCAGCAUACAGAUCUUUCACUUCCUUGGUUGGAUUUAUUUGCAAGUAUUUUUUGUAGCUAUUGUAAAUGACAUUGUUUUCUUGAUUUCUUUGUUAGGGUAUAGAAAUGCUACAGAUUGUUGUAUGUUAAUUUUAUAUCCUGCAACUUUACUGAUUUCAUUUAUUCUAACAUCUUAUUGGUGGAAUCUUUAGGGUUUUCUAUAAGAUCAUGUCAUCUGUAAACAGGGACAAUUUAAGUUCUUCCUUUCCAAUUUGGAUACCUUUUAUUUCUUCCUCUUGCCUAAUUAUUUUGGCUGAGGGCCAACUUGUUGGGUUUGUUGUUGUUGGUUUUUGUCUGUGUCUUUUGGUGUUUCGUGUUGCUGGCUUUUCCAGCACACAGUCACAGAUAUAUGAGGCAGAAAGAAAACCCAGGGAACUCCUGUCAUGUCAUUCCUCAGGUCCCAAGGUCCCUACAUGGUCUGCCUUCUUCUCUCCACCUUUUAGUGUUUGAUAUACAUACGUUUAUGUAUGUAGUUAUAUAUGUAUGUGUAAUACCCAGGGAAAUAUACAGAGAUUUUAACUGUCCUUAGUGUAGGGCGUGGGGACAGGUGCAUCUAUUCUACCUUGCUUGGAAGUGGAAAAAUCUUCAAGAAAUCAAUUUAUCACCAACUGGCAUGACAGAACUCCUGGUUUAGUGUCUAGCUGUCUCCACUAAAAUCAAUCACCAUGCCAUCAGGCACUCUCUUCCCUCUGGUGUGUACUGGUACCUGAAACAGCGUCCAGCACCCUGAGAGCACAGAACGCAGCUUCUUAUGUGCCCCACCCAAUAAUCCCAAAUCGAGCACAGACCUGGGAGCUGAAGAGACAAGCUGGAGGUCAGGCAGUUCUAUUACUUAAGCCUGGUUCUUCCUGACUCCAAAAGCCAGGCGCCACCCCAUGCUCCUUCCCAGCAGAAGCUGGUUUUCACCGGGUCAGGAGGACAGGAUGGCUAUUCCUGACCGUUGUACAGCAGUGCCACAUCUCCUAGUUUCCAGAACAUUUAAUGUGUUGCUGUGGAGGCCUGGCAGCUCUGAAGUAGCCCCUUGCGCCCAGGACAAACCGGGCCUGGAGGGGUGGGGUGGGGUAAGCUGAAGCUUCCAGUAUCCCACGUGGGCAUUCUGUUGCUGAGGGCAACCGCCCCUCCCUGCAAGGGAGGGGAAGGAGCAGGCAGGCACACCCUUCCUCCCUCCACAUUUCACUGGAGUUGACCUGUGUCCUACUGUGGUUGCACCUGGACCAGCCCAGAGGGACUGGAGUGACUCUUCCCGCAGGUAGGGCACAGCCAGCCUGGGCACAGGGCCUCACUGCAAUCCCUGCGCCCCGCCUCCCUGGGGGAUUUCCAGGGGUUGUCCUGCUGCUUGGUGAGCUGGGGGUGUGGGGGACCACAGAUGAGGCAGGCGCCUAAAUUGCUUGGGCGGAGUCCGGCUGCUCUCUCCCUCCAGGCCCUUUCCUGUGUCCUCGGGCCCCUCGGGUCCCUGCACCAGGCCAGCAGCAAUCGGGUGUCAGAGGUUCAAGUCCAGGCUGACUCCUGGGACGCACCGACUUUGCCCAGGAGGGCUGGGGAGAGGGCAGCCCCAAAGUGUCAUCUUUGAUUAUUCUUUGUCCCCAAAGCCAGCCUUGGGCAUGUGCCCAGCACAGGGAGAGCUGCUGCCUCUGUGGGCUUGAGUCAUUUUUGCUUCCUUGCCCCUCUCUGCUCUGUUUGGUUUAAAAAACAAAAACCAACACCCAUGGGUGAGGCGAGGCGAGGCGAGGCUUGCCUUGAUCCACCCGCUUCCUCCCCUGCAGCCUCGGGCCCCAUCCUCCCGCGUGGCCGCACUAGGGGUGCUGGGGGCGGAGUGGGGACCAGACCUGAGUGGGUUCUGGGUUCAGCUUCGCAGCAGGAGCAGCUGGGGCAUCAUCAGUUGGGCAGGUGACCCAGGAUCUGAGCAGGAAUCUUCCAGGUGGAGGUGGGGCCGCCCCUCUGCUUGCCACAGCUGCCUUCUGCUCUGGGGGCAGCACUGGCUGAGAAUCCAGUGAAGUAAGGCCUUUGAAAUGGUUUUGAUUGUAAAAGUAAUGUUUAUGUUUAGCCAUUCCUUUUUUUAUUUUUUAUUUUUUGAGACGGGUCUCCCUCUGUCACCCAGGCUGGAGUGCAGUCGUGAAAUGUGGGCUCACUGCAACCUCCACCUCCCAGGUUCAAGUGAUUCUCCUGCCUCAGCCUCCUGAGUAGUUGGGAUUACAAGUGCCUGCCACCACACCUGACUAAGUUUUGUAUUUUUUAGUAGAGAUGGAGUUUCACCAUGUUGGCCAGGCUGGUCUCAAACUCAUAUCCUCAAGUGAUCCACCCUCCUCGUCCUCCCAAAGUGCUGGGAUUUUGCCAUGAGCCACCACGCUCAGCCAUGUUUAGCCAUUUUUAAAAGGUGUGAACAGAUAAUUAAGUCUAUUAGCAACAUUAGAAAAUUUAAGUUAAAAUUUAAAUGACUCUAGCAAGAAUUAGCCUUUAGGUGCCCUGGGUCCCCCUCCUCACCGCCCCCCACCCCGCCGCCUUCUGAGAAGCGUUUUGUAAUUUUUCUUAUUUAUAAAAUGGGUUUGAUUCAAAACUGACUUUUCCUCUUCACAGUCUCACAGGUCCUUCCCCAGGUCCAAGAGGCUCUUCUGUGUCCUGAUGACAAGUAGCUGCCUAGCCGUGGUGGCACCUCCUAUCACAUGUUAAGGGACCCCUCCCCAGGGCCACACCUGGCAGAAGGUGGCUUAUGAUGUUCGCAGCUUGAAAGUAGUGUAAACCAAAGAUAAAAUUCUAAGCCCACUCCCCCAGCCAUCGGAAUGGACCCCUCCUCUUGGCCAGGGCACUCCAAAGUUAACCUGAAAAACCGGUUCAGGCUGUGAAGAGAAGGUGGAGUGGACAUGCCUCAUUUAUGUCCUCCUCCCUUUUGGAAUUCAGCAAAGCUGACCAGCAUGAACAUUAACACAGACCUUAAGUCUGAUUAGUGGCAUUUACAAUCUAUACUCUCUGAAGCGUGCUACCUGGAGUCUUCCUUUGCAUGAUAAAACUUUGGUCUCCACAACCCCUUAUCAUAACCUAGACACUCCUUUCUAGUGAUAAUAACUCUUUCAACCAAUUGCCAAUAAAAAAAUUUUGAAUCUACCUAUAACCUGGAACCUCCCCGCUCCACCUUCGAGUUGUCCUACCUUUCUGGACAGAAGCAAUGUGGAUCUUGCAUGUAUUUGAUUGAUGUCUCAUGUCUCCCUAAAAUGUAUACAAUUAGGCUGUGCCCAGAUCACCCUGGGCACAUGUUCUCAGGCCCUCCUGAGGUCUCUGUCUCGGGCCAUUGGUCACUCAGAUUCGGCUCAGAAUAAAUCUCUUCAAAUAUU
rnacentral:lncRNA from 1 species